GGUGUCCUCAGCGAAGCGGGGGGAGAGCGGGUGGUGGCGUGUGAAACGGGAGAGGCCCCUCCAGCUUUGCCUCCAAGCAGCCCCGAGAGCGCGGCAGACUCCCUGGGGUGCCCACAAGAGCCGGCGAGCCUGUCAGAGGAAAGAAGGUUUGCAGGCUGUGCCCAGGACAAGGCAAAGAGAAGAAAGCGGAAGAGCAAACAGGCGUGGGGAGAGGAGAGUGCAAGGCGCACGGCAAAGAAGAGGAGGAAGAGAGAAGCGGUUUUGGCGGAUGGAGCAGUGCAAAGACGCAGGAAGGCGCAGCAGGUCAGGAAGGCCAGGCGCUGAUUCCUUGUCGCCGGGCGAAGCGUUGGGAGUGCUGGGCCCCGCCGCUGACGUCCAGAAUAAAAUGAUGUUUUCUGU